UAGAAAAGACAUUGCAGGAAAUUGAAGAGACUCCCUAUUUACUUCAAUAAUAUUCAUUGGGUAUGCUUGUUCAAAGUCCUGAUCAAGGAACCCCUCUCCAUUUCUGGUGUUGAUACAACUCUUCCAACCACCUGUUCUUCUAGCUACAAAAACAUGCAUUGUGAGUCAACGGGAAGGAGUGAGCCCAGCUGGUAACCUGACACCAGGAGCAUAGGUGGGCAGAACUUUUCAUGGACUUGGACAGCCAUGGGAAAUCAUUUCACCAGGACUUUGGGUAAUUUUAAUUAAAAAUUCAGUUCAAGUCAAUCUCUUACGCUUAUCAGAAGCAUCUGCCAUGUUUUCCCGACUUAAGAACUUGAGCUGAAAAUAUGAGCAUUUUCCGGUUAUAAAAGCGCCACAUCUGUGUAAAGUUAAAAUAGCUUCUAAGGACCAUUUUCAACACAUUUGGAUCUUCCAAAUUAUAGUUUUUAAAAUGCAGCUUCAGAGAACAACACUGAUGCCUCAUUCAGUGGUGUGACUGCAUUUCUUGCUCUACAUGAUGCCUUCUCCCUCAGCAUGUGUUUAAUUCCUUGUACCAUUAGUCUACUCUUAGUUUCUUCAUUAGGCUCAUGGCCAGGACAUAGCACACUGCCUGCCACGUAACAUUUGUUCAAAAGUACUUGUUGAUUGAAUGAAUGAGUGAAUUAGUGAGUUUAAGGAUAAAAGAGCCCUGAAAGCCCUGUCUUCAUUUAUUUCUCCUAUGGGUUCUAAUUGUAGUUACUGAUUCUAGCCUGGAAUGUUCUUCAAAUAGAACACUGCCCUUAAGCUCCUGAGAUUAAUUGGUGAAAAUUAAAUCGAGAAUCAGAGGAUCAGAAAGAUAAAGUGACUUUUCACAAACAAGAAAAUAUUUGAACUAUACAUUUUAUUAGAAAAGGCACUUCUGUUAGAAAAUUCUACAAAACUCCAACACCAACAAAUCUACAGUAUGAAGUUUCCCUUGAUUUACUUCUGAUGUUUAUUGCAGACUCACAAUAACCAAAAUAAAAGUCUUGUAAAGUCUGUCUGUUCUUGCUCAAGGCUCAGAUCUUGGUUCCUGAAUCAGACUUUUGUUCCUUGUUUAGGUAAAGCCUGAAUUUUUUGGACUUCGAGCCUACACUGGCAGGGUUAUCAAGUUAUACAGCUCCAAUGUAUUCCAUGUGAAUGGUGCCCUGGGAGAUCUGCCCCAUGGUGGUGUCAUAUGCCUGAACACAUAGCUGUGUUCAUUAUCCCAAGGUAUUUCUUU